rnacentral:lncRNA from 1 species
CUCCUCCACAUUCUCAAUGUGCCUGUCCAAAGUCAGGAGCCUGUCGUUCAGUGGUUGUUGUUGGUUCAUUUCUGCCAUAUUGUUCUUUGUAAAUUGUAAUACAUUAGGCCGUUAUCUUUUUCAUAUUGAAUUGUUUCAUAUUUUUUUUUAUGUCGGGCCUUUUAUAGAUGAAUAUACGGUAUGGCUGUUUCUUAUAAUGUUGAAGGUCGUAUGGUUGCCUUUAACUGCUCGCAUUCACCUCAUGUGAACAUUCGUGGGUAACUGUCUCAUUGGUAAUCAUACCAAAGAGAUCCAAACUUUCCAAAAACUUUUAAUUUUUUUCAAGUAUUUAUAAUUUG